UGUGGAGGAGCCUGGGGAGAAGCGUCCUGGGGUGCCAAAUCCUGGUGUGCUUAACUGAAAAGUUAAGGGCAGCGGGAAAGAGCAGCCACAGGAGCGAGUGCUGCACUCGGGAGCUGGGCAGCAGCCAGGCUGCCCUGGAGCCUCGCACGAUCACCCACGCCCUCUGCGAGGUGGUGUCAGUGCUGCAGAGGAAGACACUGGUCCAGCGCCUGCUUCCCUACCUGCUUCCCGGCCUUCUGAGGCAGGUCAGCGAGACGCUGGGGGAGGAGCUGGCACCGUCCGUUGGGGACCUGGAGAGCGCUGACAUGCCGGGCAGCCUUUUUGUGGCGGCAUUGGAGCUGGUGCUGGCGAGGUGCCUGGACAAUCGGUGGCUGCGGCUGCUCCGGGAGCAGGGAGCGUGGG